ensembl:snRNA U4atac minor spliceosomal RNA
ACCUUCCUUGUCUGGGGGUGGAUUGGGGUGGUCAAUGAACGACUAGUGAGAGCAUCCCUGCUGACACCUUACCAACACAUCACGCAUCACCUGAGCGUUUCUGCUCAGGCUACGGUGCAAUUUUUGGAACC